rnacentral:tRNA from 1 species
GGCGCUGUGGCUCAAGUGGUAGAGCGCUAGCCUUGAGCUGAAGAGCUGGUUCGAUUCCUCAGCACCA